AUGACCCUUACUCCAACUACUUGCUACAGCAUGAGCACCCCGAACGAUGAGACGCCGCUGAUGGGGUCCAAUGGCAAGAUGCGGUAUAAAUCGCGUCGCAAAAACGCGACAACGCCUGGGGUCGACACGCGCCGGAGGUCACAGCGCCGCCCCAUCACACCCGCCGAAGCCGAAGCCCGCGCCGCCACCUUCUUUGCAGACGCCGCCGCCGCCUCCAGGGCGUGGGCCGAGAGGAAGGGCAGGGGGAAGGGGAAGGGGAAGCGGAAGGCGGCGGCGGCGGAGGAGAAGGAGGCGCCAGAGCCCCAACCUCUCCCGGCGCGCAUGGCGAGGCUGGGCCCGGGGCAGGGGUUGGGGUGCGAGGCGGCGGUGGGGUCGCUGGCGCCCAGCCGGAGCCGGGAGUACAAGCUCUGCAGCAAGCACACCGAGGGCAAGCGCCCGCUCUACGCCAUCGGCUUCAACUUCAUCGACGCCCGCUACUACGACGUCUUCGCCACCGUCGGCGGGAAUCGUGUGACGACGUACCGUGGCCUCCCCGACGGUAACUUGGCUGUUCUGCAAGCAUACAUUGAUGCGGACGAUGCUCAGUCAUUCUACACUCUGAGCUGGGCUUGUGACCUUGACGGCACACCACUGCUAGUGGCAGCAGGAAGCAAUGCGGUCAUUCGGGUCAUCAACUGUGCCACCGAGAAGUUGUUUAAGAGUUUUCUUGGCCAUGGUGAUUCAAUAAAUGAGAUAAGAACUCAACCAUUGAAGCCUUCGCUCUUCAUUUCUGCAAGCAAGGACGAGUCUGUUAGGCUAUGGAAUGUCCAUACAGGUAUCUGCAUCUUGAUUUUUGCUGGAGGAGGUGGUCACCGUAAUGAAGUAUUGAGUGUUGACUUCCACCCUUCUGAUAUCUACCGAAUUGCCAGUUGUGGCAUGGAUAAUACUGUUAAAAUCUGGUCAAUGAAAGAAUUUUGGCCAUACGUGGAGAAAUCCUUUACAUGGACUGACCUUCCAUCAAAAUUUCCAACAAAAUUUGUCCAAUUUCCGCUUAUGACUUCCGUGGUGCAUUCUAACUAUGUUGACUGUACUAGGUGGCUUGGUGACUUCAUCCUGUCGAAGAGUGUUGACAAUGAAAUUGUUCUGUGGGAGCCAAAAAUAAAAGAGCAGGGUCCUGGCGAGGGUAGCAUUGAUGUUCUUCAGAAGUACCCUGUGCCCGAUUGUGACAUUUGGUUUAUCAAAUUCUCAUGUGAUUUUCACUUCAAUCAAUUAGCAAUAGGCAACCGCGAAGGCAAAAUCUAUGUGUGGGAAGUGCAGGCGAGCCCUCCUGUGCUAAUUACCCGGCUGAGUAGUCCGCAAUGCAAAAUGCCAAUAAGGCAGACUGCAGUGUCGUUUGAUGGAAGCACGAUCCUUGCCUGCGGCGAGGAUGGCAGCAUAUACCGCUGGGACGAAGUGGAACAUCAAGCUGCGAAAAAUUGA
rnacentral:rRNA from 1 species